GGCAGAGGCACGUGGGCCCACUUGGGUCUGGAGCACUGCUUGAUUUGGCCAGGGCCAGGCUGGGACAUCCCUCUACAGUAACUCCAGGGAUGUCAAGUAGGACUUUACUAGCCCUUGCCGAGCCAAUGGGGUCCCUUCACUGGAAUGAGAUUCUUCCCUACAGUGAGGGUGGUUCACCUCCUUCACCCAGGGAAGCCAUAUCCCCACCUCUCACUGGAGGGGGAUCCAGUCCUCAAGCCACCAGCCAGACUGAGACAGUCCUUGUCCAUGGGACAACCUCCAGCUCAUGUCUGUCCUGCCUCAGUGGCCCAUGAACCAAUGUUUGCCUGAAUCAGGUGCACAUCAGAAGCACUGCUUUAUUAGAAGUAUGAGGCCUUUAUCAAGACAUAUGCAUUGAAGUCAUUUCUCUCGUGUGUCUUUUGAUUCACAGGUAUUUCUAAUUUUCAUGUAGACCAACGUGUCACCUAUUUUACUGCUGGUGCUUCCCCUGUCCUGUUGAAGAAAAUGAAUUAUUAUCUCCUCUAUAUCUUCUAGCAGCUUUGCUGUUUCCCCUUUCACAUUUUUUUUAAAGUUUUCAAACAAUUUAAGGUCAUUUUGUAUUUAUAUCUGUAUCCACACAUGUACACACAAUGUAUAUAUCAAAUCCUUAUACAGUCAUAAAAAUAAAUUACAAGCAACAAAAUAAAAAGUUAAACUUAAUUUAGUGUAUUGUUUGCUUUUUAAAAAUAACUAAAAUAGAGUCACACUUUAUCUAACAUCAAUCAUUCUUUUUUUUGUUUUGGUUUUGUUUUUUUGGUCCCAGGGAUUGAACUCAGGACCUUGCACUUGCAAGGCAGGCACUGGAACCACUGAGCUAAAUCCCUGGCCCUUAACAUCAGUCAUUCUUAACAUAAAUGAUCCUGACUGGGGCAUACUUUUCUUUAUGCCACUUCAAUAGACCCUAAGU
rnacentral:lncRNA from 1 species